GCUUCUUAAGCCCCGCCUCCACCGCCUUGCCAGAAAAGCUCCCCGCCCGGCAGAGCGCAUGCGUAAUGAAGAGCAGGCCGAGGGAACCGUUGCGGACACAAUUGUGUCCCUUUCUGCCAGACUCACCAAGUGAGGUUUUCUGUUCAAAAGGUCCGAAGUGGCUUACAACAGCAAAAUCUGUCCGUGGUUACCUUUGUCUGAAAGGUGGGCUCUGCGUCUUUAACAAGAAAAUAUUUUAAGCAUCUUUUGUUCCUAUUUUUCAACUCUUAGUAAAAGUAUGCAUUUUCUAAUCA